GUCUACGGCCAUACCACCCUGAACGCGCCCGAUCUCGUCUGAUCUCAGAAGCUAAGCAGGGUCGGGCCCGGUUAGUACUUGGAUGGGAGAACAGCCUGUCUCCAAUCGCCC
rnacentral:rRNA from 1 species